rnacentral:sRNA from 1 species
GCUGGGUGUGGUGGCACAUGCCUGUAAUCCCAGCGGCUUGGGAGGCUGAGGCAAGAGGAUUGAGAGUUCAAAGCCAGCCUCAGCAAAAUCACGGUGCUAAGUAACUCAGUGAGACCCUGUCUCUA